rnacentral:rRNA from 1 species
AUUGAACGCUGGCGGCAGGCCUAACACAUGCAAGUCGAGCGGAUGAAGGGAGCUUGCUCCUGGAUUCAGCGGCGGACGGGUGAGUAAUGCCUAGGAAUCUGCCUGGUAGUGGGGGAUAACGUCCGGAAACGGGCGCUAAUACCGCAUACGUCCUGAGGGAGAAAGUGGGGGAUCUUCGGACCUCACGCUAUCAGAUGAGCCUAGGUCGGAUUAGCUAGUUGGUGGGGUAAAGGCCUACCAAGGCGACGAUCCGUAACUGGUCUGAGAGGAUGAUCAGUCACACUGGAACUGAGGCACGGUCCAGACUCCUACGGGAGGCAGCAGUGGGGAAUAUUGGACAAUGGGCGAAAGCCUGAUCCAGCCAUGCCGCGUGUGUGAAGAAGGUCUUUGGAUUGUAAAGCACUUUAAGUUGGGAGGAAGGGCAGUAAGUUAAUACCUUGCUGUUUUGACGUUACCAACAGAAUAAGCACCGGCUAACUUCGUG